rnacentral:rRNA from 1 species
AGCAGCCGCGGUAAUUCCAGCUCCAAUAGCGUAUAUUAAAGUUGUUGCAGUUAAAAAGCUCGUAGUUGAAUUUCGAGACCGGCUUACUGGUCGUGCUAUUGUACGUACUGGUAGAAUCGGUUUCUCCUUUCUGACGAACUAUAAUGCCAUUAAUUUGGUGUUAUAGGGAAUCAGGACUGUUACUUUGAAAAAAUUAGAGUGUUUAAAGCAGGCUCACGCUUGAAUACAUUAGCAUGGAAUAACGGAAUAGGACGUUUGAUUCUAUUUUGUUGGUUUCUAGGAUCGACGUAAUGAUUAAUAGGGAUAGUUGGGGGCAUUAGUAUUCAAUUGUCAGAGGUGAAAUUCUUGGAUUUAUUGAAGACUAACUACUGCGAAAGCAUCUGCCAAGGAUGUUUUCAUUAAUCAAGAACGAAAGUUAGGGGAUCGAAGACGAUCAGAUACCGUCGUAGUCUUAACCAUAAACUAUGCCGACUAGGGAUCGGAUGAUGUUAAUUUUUUAAUGACUCAUUCGGCGCCUUAC